GUGGGCUCUGCUCGCUGAUCCGAUGAUUCAUGAUAACUCGACGGAUCGCAUGGCCUUUGUGCCGGCGACGCAUCAUUCAAAUUUCUUGCCUAUCAACUUUCGAUGGUAGGAUAGGGGCCUACCAUGGUGGUGACGGGUGACGGAGAAUUAGGGUUCGAUUCCGGAGAGGGAGCCUGAGAAACGGCUACCACAUCCAAGGAAGGCAGCAGG
rnacentral:ncRNA from 1 species